ACGCUGGCGGCGUGCCUAAUACAUGCAAGUAGAACGCUGAAGAGAGGAGCUUGCUCUUCUUGGAUGAGUUGCGAACGGGUGAGUAACGCGUAGGUAACCUGCCUUGUAGCGGGGGAUAACUAUUGGAAACGAUAGCUAAUACCGCAUAACAAUGGAUGACACAUGUCAUUUAUUUGAAAGGGGCAAUUGCUCCACUACAAGAUGGACCUGCGUUGUAUUAGCUAGUAGGUGAGGUAACGGCUCACCUAGGCGACGAUACAUAGCCGACCUGAGAGGGUGAUCGGCCACACUGGGACUGAGACACGGCCCAGACUCCUACGGGGGGCAGCAGUAGGGAAUCUUCGGCAAUGGGGGCAACCCUGACCGAGCAACGCCGCGUGAGUGAAGAAGGUUUUCGGAUCGUAAAGCUCUGUUGUAAGUCAAGAACGAGUGUGGGAGUGGAAAGUUCACACUGUGACGGUAGCUUACCAGAAAGGGACGGCUAACUACGUGCCAGCAGCCGCGGUAAUACGUAGGUCCCGAGCGUUGUCCGGAUUUAUUGGGCGUAAAGCGAGCGCAGGCGGUUUGAUAAGUCUGAAGUUAAAGGCUGUGGCUCAACCAUAGUUCGCUUUGGAAACUGUCAAACUUGAGUGCAGAAGGGGAGAGUGGAAUUCCAUGUGUAGCGGUGAAAUGCGUAGAUAUAUGGAGGAACACCGGUGGCGAAAGCGGCUCUCUGGUCUGUAACUGACGCUGAGGCUCGAAAGCGUGGGGAGCGAACAGGGUUAGAUACCCUGGUAGUCCACGCCGUAAACGAUGAGUGCUAGGUGUUGGAUCCUUUCCGGGAUUCAGUGCCGCAGCUAACGCAUUAAGCACUCCGCCUGGGGAGUACGACCGCAAGGUUGAAACUCAAAGGAAUUGACGGGGGCCCGCACAAGCGGUGGA
rnacentral:rRNA from 1 species